GCUGGCGGCGUGCCUAAUACAUGCAAGUCGAACGCUUUGUGGUUCAACUGAUUUGAAGAGCUUGCUCAGAUAUGACGAUGGACAUUGCAAAGAGUGGCGAACGGGUGAGUAACACGUGGGAAACCUACCUCUUAGCAGGGGAUAACAUUUGGAAACAGAUGCUAAUACCGUAUAACAAUGACAACCGCAUGGUUGUUAUUUAAAAGAUGGUUCUGCUAUCACUAAGAGAUGGUCCCGCGGUGCAUUAGCUAGUUGGUAAGGUAAUGGCUUACCAAGGCGAUGAUGCAUAGCCGAGUUGAGAGACUGAUCGGCCACAAUGGGACUGAGACACGGCCCAUACUCCUACGGGAGGCAGCAGUAGGGAAUCUUCCACAAUGGGCGAAAGCCUGAUGGAGCAACGCCGCGUGUGUGAUGAAGGGUUUCGGCUCGUAAAACACUGUUGUAAGAGAAGAAUGACAUUGAAAGUAACUGUUCAAUGUGUGACGGUAUCUUACCAGAAAGGAACGGCUAAAUACGUGCCAUCAGCCGCGGUAAUACGUAUGUUCCAAGCGUUAUCCGGAUUUAUUGUUCGUAAAGCGAGCGCACACGGUUAUUUAAGUCUGAAGUGAAAGCCCUCAGCUCAACUGAGGAAUUGCUUUGGAAACUGGAUGACUUGAGUGCAGUACACGAAAGUGGAACUCCAUGUGUAGAGGUGAAAUGCGUAGAUAUAUGGAAGAACACCAGUGGCGAAGGCGGCUUUCUGGACUGUAACUGACGUUGAGGCUCGAAAGUGUGGGUAGCAAACAGGAUUAGAUACCCUGGUAGUCCACACCGUAAACGAUGAGUGCUAGGUGUUUGAGGGUUUCCGCCCUUAAGUGCCGCAGCUAACGCAUUAAGCACUCCGCCUGGGGAGUACGACCGCAAGGUUGAAACUCAAAGGAAUUGACGGGGACCCGCACAAGCGGUGGAGCAUGUGGUUUAAUUCGAAGCAACGCGAAGAACCUUACCAGGUCUUGACAUCCCUUGACAACUCCAGAGAUGGAGCGUUCCCUUCGGGGACAAGGUGACAGGUGGUGCAUGGUUGUCGUCAGCUCGUGUCGUGAGAUGUUGGGUUAAGUCCCGCAACGAGCGCAACCCUUAUUACUAGUUGCCAGCAUUCAGUUGGGCACUCUAGUGAGACUGCCGGUGACAAACCGGAGGAAGGUGGGGAUGACGUCAAAUCAUCAUGCCCCUUAUGACCUGGGCUACACACGUGCUACAAUGGCGUAUACAACGAGUUGCCAACCCGCGAGGGUGAGCUAAUCUCUUAAAGUACGUCUCAGUUCGGAUUGUAGGCUGCAACUCGCCUACAUGAAGUCGGAAUCGCUAGUAAUCGCGGAUCAGCACGCCGCGGUGAAUACGUUCCCGGGUCUUGUACACACCGCCCGUCACACCAUGAGAGUUUGUAACACCCAAAGCCGGUGGGGUAACCUUCGGGAGCCAGCCGUCUAAGGUGGGACAGAUGAUU
rnacentral:rRNA from 1 species